rnacentral:rRNA from 1 species
UCCAGACUCCUACGGGAGGCAGCAGUGAGGAAUAUUGGUCAAUGGGCGGAAGCCUGAACCAGCCAAGUCGCGUGAGGGAAGAAGGCCCUGCGGGUCGCAGACCUCUUUGGACGGGGAGCAAGGCCGCCGACGUGUCGGCGGAAGGAGAGUACCCGUAGAACAAGCAUCGGCUAACUCCGUGCCAGCAGCCGCGGUAAUACGGAGGAUGCGAGCGUUAUCCGGAUUUAUUGGGUUUAAAGGGUGCGCAGGCGGCGCGGAAAGCCGGGGGUCAAAUCGCGGGGCUCAACCUCGCUCCGCCGUUGAAACUGGGUGCCUUGAGUGGGCGAGAAGUACGCGGAAUGCGUGGUGUAGCGGUGAAAUGCAUAGAUAUCACGCAGAACUCCGAUUGCGAAGGCAGCGUACCGGCGCCCAACUGACGCUGAAGCACGAAGGCGUGGGUAUCGAACAGGAUUAGAUACCCUGGUACC